UGACGAGUCCUUAACUGACGCUAAUGCUCGAAAGUGCGGGUAUCGAACAGGAUUAGAUACCCUGGUAGUCCGCACGGUAAACGAUGGAUGCCCGCUGUUGGCGAUACACAGUCAGCGGCCAAGCGAAAGCGUUAAGCAUCCCACCUGGGGAGUACGCCGGCAACGGUGAAACUCAAAGGAAUUGACGGGGGCCCGCACAAGCGGAGGAACAUGUGGUUUAAUUCGAUGAUACGCGAGGAACCUUACCCGGGCUUGAACUGCAGGAGAACGAUUCAGAGAUGAUGAGGUCCUUCGGGACUCCUGUGGAGGUGCUGCAUGGUUGUCGUCAGCUCGUGCCGUGAGGUGUCGGCUUAAGUGCCAUAACGAGCGCAACCCCUUUCUUCAGUUGCCAUCAGGUCGAGCUGGGCACUCUGGAGACACUGCCACCGUAAGGUGUGAGGAAGGUGGGGAUGACGUCAAAUCAGCACGGCCCUUACGUCCGGGGCUACACACGUGUUACAAUGGGUGGUACAGAGAGCUGGCUGCCUGCAAAGUCAGCCGAAUCAUGAAAGCCAUCCUCAGUUCGGAUUGGGGUCUGCAACCCGACCCCAUGAAGCUGGAU
rnacentral:rRNA from 1 species